rnacentral:rRNA from 1 species
AGAGUUUGAUCAUGGCUCAGGACGAACGCUGGCGGCGUGCCUAAUACAUGCAAGUCGAGCGGACUUUUCGGGAGCUUGCUUCCGGAAAGUCAGCGGCGAACGGGUGAGUAACACGUGGGUAACCUGCCUGCAAGACCGGGAUAACUUCGGGAAACCGGAGCUAAUACCGGAUGAUCUCCUUUUCCGCAUGGAGAAGGACUGAAAGGACGGCGCAAGCUGUCGCUUGCAGAUGGGCCCGCGGCGCAUUAGCCAGUUGGUGAGGUAACGGCUCACCAAGGCGACGAUGCGUAGCCGACCUGAGAGGGUGAUCGGCCACACUGGGACUGAGACACGGCCCAGACUCCUACGGGAGGCAGCAGUAGGGAAUCUUCCGCAAUGGACGAAAGUCUGACGGAGCAACGCCGCGUGAGCGAUGAAGGCCUUCGGGUCGUAAAGCUCUGUUGUCAGGGAAGAACAAGUGCGGGAGUAACUGCCCGCACCUUGACGGUACCUGACCAGAAAGCCACGGCUAACUACGUGCCAGCAGCCGCGGUAAUACGUAGGUGGCAAGCGUUGUCCGGAAUUAUUGGGCGUAAAGCGCGCGCAGGCGGUCCCUUAAGUCUGAUGUGAAAGCCCCCGGCUUAACCGGGGAGGGUCAUUGGAAACUGGGGGACUUGAGUGCAGAAGAGAAGAGCGGAAUUCCAUGUGUAGCGGUGAAAUGCGUAGAGAUGUGGAGGAACACCAGUGGCGAACGCGGCUUCCUGGCCUGUAACUGACGCUGAGGCGCGAAAGCGUGGGGA